rnacentral:lncRNA from 10 species
UUACUUGCCAGGGAGCCUGAAGUUUUCAUUAUCUGAAUUUCACCUUGGAAUUAGAGGGAAGAAAUUGGAUAGUGUUGUCUUCUGAAGGCACUAUUCAGAUGAAUCCACAAGAACUCAGAAGAAGAGAGGGAAUGCACUGAAGAAACUCAUUUACCCUUGUCCAUUACCAAAUAUUUAUUUUUUUUAAGGAGCUAUCAACACAAAAGACACAGACACCCUGGCUGUGAAUGAAUGAGGAGAUUCCUGGAUCCCAUCCACAGAGCCUGGGAUUCAGGAAGCAUGGAGGUACUGAGGUCAUUAGUAGGAAUAAAGUGUGUCUUGACAGAAGAAAGGAAUGAAUCAGUAAGGAAAGUAUAAAGAUAGAGAAAAAAUUAUCAGGAAGUGAGAACGAGGCGGGAGGAAAACGAAAAUGAAUGUGAAAUGACUUAAUGGGACCCCCAAAAAGACAAGACUGGGCAGUAUUGGAGUGACACACAGAUAUGAAGCUCUUUCCACACCUGAAGGAUCCUGACGUUUGAAGAAGUGGAAUUCCACACUUCACAGGAUGGGCAGCAGUUACAGUCCCUAACUGUGAGGCAAGCCAGCUUGUUACUGACCCCAGGAGGAGGUACCUGCUUGGUCCACAUGUUUGUGC